rnacentral:rRNA from 1 species
CCUACGGGAGGCAGCAGUGGGGAAUAUUGCACAAUGGGCGCAAGCCUGAUGCAGCGACGCCGCGUGAGGGAUGACGGCCUUCGGGUUGUAAACCUCUUUCAGUAGGGAAGAAGCGUAAGUGACGGUACCUGCAGAAGAAGCGCCGGCUAACUACGUGCCAGCAGCCGCGGUAAUACGUAGGGCGCAAGCGUUAUCCGGAAUUAUUGGGCGUAAAGAGCUCGUAGGCGGUUUGUCGCGUCUGCCGUGAAAGUCCGGGGCUCAACUCCGGAUCUGCGGUGGGUACGGGCAGACUAGAGUGAUGUAGGGGAGACUGGAAUUCCUGGUGUAGCGGUGAAAUGCGCAGAUAUCAGGAGGAACACCGAUGGCGAAGGCAGGUCUCUGGGCAUUAACUGACGCUGAGGAGCGAAAGCAUGGGGAGCGAACAGGAUUAGAUACCCUGGUAGUCCAUGCCGUAAACGUUGGGCACUAGGUGUGGGGGACAUUCCACGUUUUCCGCGCCGUAGCUAACGCAUUAAGUGCCCCGCCUGGGGAGUACGGCCGCAAGGCUAAAACUCAAAGNGAAGUUGACGCGUGAGCGNGACCGAGGCACGACGAGGGAG